GCUACACAGCGAUGUGAUGCUAAUCUCCAAACCAUGUCUCAGUUCGGAUCGGAGUCUGCAACUCGACUCCGUGAAGCUGGAUUCGCUAGUAAUCGCGCAUCAGCCAUGGCGCGGUGAAUACGUUCCCCGGGCCUUGUACACACCGCCCGUCAAGCCAUGGGAGCCGGGGGUACCUGAAGUCCGUAACCGCGAGGAUCGGCCUAGGGUAAAACUGGUGACUGGGGCUAAGUCGUAACAAGGUAUC
rnacentral:rRNA from 1 species